GGUUAACCGAAUAGGGGAGCCGAAGGGAAACCGAGUCUUAACCGGGCGUUAAGUUGCAGGGUAUAGACCCGAAACCCGGUGAUCUAGCCAUGGGCAGGUUGAAGGUUGGGUAACACUAACUGGAGGACCGAACCGACUAAUGUUGAAAAAUUAGCGGAUGACUUGUGGCUGGGGGUGAAAGGCCAAUCAAACCGGGAGAUAGCUGGUUCUCCCCGAAAGCUAUUUAGGUAGCGCCUCGUGAAUUCAUCUCCGGGGGUAGAGCACUGUUUCGGCAAGGGGGUCAUCCCGACUUACCAACCCGAUGCAAACUGCGAAUACCGGAGAAUGUUAUCACGGGAGACACACGGCGGGUGCUAACGUCCGUCGUGAAGAGGGAAACAACCCAGACCGCCAGCUAAGGUCCCAAAGUCAUGGUUAAGUGGGAAACGAUGUGGGAAGGCCCAGACAGCCAGGAUGUUGGCUUAGAAGCAGCCAUCAUUUAAAGAAAGCGUAAUAGCUCACUGGUCGAGUCGGCCUGCGCGGAAGAUGUAACGGGGCUAAACCAUGCACCGAAGCUGCGGCAGCGACACUGUGUGUUGUUGGGUAGGGGAGCGU
rnacentral:rRNA from 1 species